rnacentral:rRNA from 1 species
GAUGAACGCUGGCGGCGUGCUUAACACAUGCAAGUCGAACGGGAAACCUUUUAUUGAAGCUUCGGCAGAUUUAGAUUGUUUCUAGUGGCGGACGGGUGAGUAACGCGUGGGUAACCUGCCUUAUACAGGGGGAUAACAGUCAGAAAUGACUGCUAAUACCGCAUAAGCGCACAGAGCUGCAUGGCUCAGUGUGAAAAACUCCGGUGGUAUAAGAUGGACCCGCGUUGGAUUAGCUAGUUGGUGAGGUAACGGCCCACCAAGGCGACGAUCCAUAGCCGGCCUGAGAGGGUGAACGGCCACAUUGGGACUGAGACACGGCCCAGACUCCUACGGGAGGCAGCAGUGGGGAAUAUUGCACAAUGGGGGAAACCCUGAUGCAGCGACGCCGCGUGAAGGAAGAAGUAUCUCGGUAUGUAAACUUCUAUCAGCAGGGAAGAAAAUGACGGUACCUGACUAAGAAGCCC